CCCUUAGAUGUUCUGGGCUGCACGCGCGCUACACUGAAGCGUUCAACGAGUAUUCACCUUGCCCGGGAGGGUUGGGUAAUCUUUUGAAAACGCUUCGUGAUGGGGAUAGAUUAUUGCAAUUAUUAAUCUUCAACGAGGAAUUCCUAGUAAGCGCGAGUCAACAGCUUGCGUUGAUUACGUCCCUGCCCUUUGUACACACCGCCCGUCGCUACUACUGAUUGGAUGUUUAAGCGAGGUUCUCGAACUGCUAGCGACUUAGCUUCGGUGAGGUCGCAGUGUGGGAAGUGAACCUAGCUUUGGUGUCUAGAGGAAGUAAAAGUCGUAACA
rnacentral:rRNA from 1 species